CUAUGGCGAGACUGGCAUGUACUC
rnacentral:miRNA from 1 species